rnacentral:tRNA from 1 species
GGAUUGGUGGCUUAGUGGUAAAGAAUCUGCUUGCCAACGCAGGUGACACGGGUUCGACCCCUGAUCCA